CAGGGCGCAGCUGAUCCACCAUUCCGCGUGCAGACGAAGCCUUCGGGUUGUAAACUGCUUUUGUACAGAACGAAAAGCCUUGGGUUAAUACCCUGGGGUCAUGACGGUACUGUAAGAAUAAGCACCGGCUAACUACGUGCCAGCAGCCGCGGUAAUACGUAGGGUGCGAGCGUUAAUCGGAAUUACUGGGCGUAAAGCGUGCGCAGGCGGUUGUGCAAGACAGAUGUGAAAUCCCCGGGCUUAACCUGGGAAUGGCAUUUGUGACUGCACGGCUAGAGUGUGUCAGAGGGGGGUAGAAUUCCACGUGUAGCAGUGAAAUGCGUAGAUAUGUGGAGGAAUACCGAUGGCGAAGGCAGCCCCCUGGGAUAACACUGACGCUCAUGCACGAAAGCGUGGGGAGCAAACAGGAUUAGAUACCCUGGUAGUCCACGCCCUAAACGAUGUCAACUAGUUGUCGGGUCUUAAUUGACUUGGUAACGCAGCUAACGCGUGAAGUUGACCGCCUGGGGAGUACGGUCGCAAGAUUAAAACUCAAAGGAAUUGACGGGGACCCGCACAAGCGGUGGAUGAUGUGGAUUAAUUCGAUGCAACGCGAAAAACCUUACCUAACCUUGACAUGUCUGGAAUCCUGAAGAGAUUUGGGAGUGCUCGAAAGAGAACCCGA
rnacentral:rRNA from 1 species